rnacentral:rRNA from 1 species
UAGGGAAUCUUCCGCAAUGGACGCAAGUCUGACGGAGCAACGCCGCGUGAGUGAAGAAGGAUUUCGGUUCGUAAAACUCUGUUGUUAGAGAAGAACAGCGCAUAGAGUAACUGUUAUGCGUGUGACGGUAUCUAACCAGAAAGCCACGGCUAACUACGUGCCAGCAGCCGCGGUAAUACGUAGGUGGCAAGCGUUGUCCGGAUUUAUUGGGCGUAAAGCGAGCGCAGGCGGUCAAUUAAGUCUUAUGUGAAAGCCCCCGGCUCAACCGGGGAGGGUCAUUGGAAACUGGUUGACUUGAGUGCAGAAGAGGAGAGUGGAAUUCCAUGUGGAGCGGUGAAAUGCGUAGAUAUAUGGAGGAACACCAGUGGCGAAGGCGACUCUCUGGUCUGUAACUGACGCUGAGGCUCGAAAGCGUGGGUAGCAAACAGG